rnacentral:rRNA from 1 species
UACGGAGGAUCCAAGCGUUAUCCGGAAUCAUUGGGUUUAAAGGGUCCGUAGGCGGCCUUAUAAGUCAGUGGUGAAAGUUUUUGGCUUAACCAAAAAAUUGCCAUUGAUACUGUAGGGCUUGAAUGUCUGUGAAGUAACUAGAAUAUGUAGUGUAGCGGUGAAAUGCUUAGAUAUUACAUGGAAUACCGAUUGCGAAGGCAGGUUACUAACAGAUGAUUGACGCUGAUGGACGAAAGCGCGGGUAGCGAACAGG